AGCAUAAUAAUUUGCCUUUUAAUUGAAGGCUAGUAUGAAAGGGUCAACCGAGACUCAACUGUCUCUCCUUAAAGAGAGAGAAUUUAAAUUUUGAGUGAAAAUGCUCAAAUAGCAUAGAGGGACGAGAAGACCCUUAGAUCUUUCUUGAAGCUAGUCGUUAGCUUAAGGUUACCUGGGAGGGGGCUAAUCCAUAAACUUUAGAUUACUAUAAAGGAAAUUAAUUCGAAUUUGUAGGUCCUUAUUGGAUGAAAGAGUAGAUACCUAAGGGAUAACAGCGCUAUUUUCUUUUUUUAGAUCUUUUAAUAUAAAGAAGCUUGCGACC
rnacentral:rRNA from 1 species